rnacentral:rRNA from 1 species
GGUGAACGCUGGCGGCAUGCCUAACACAUGCAAGUCGAGCGAAAGGACGAGAAGAUCGCGUCUCUGAUGUUAGCGGCGGACGGGUGGGUAAGACAUGGAUAACCUACCUAUAAUACUGGGAUAACUUCGGGAAACCGGAGACGAUAACGGAGGAUAUUUCGAACCGCAUGGAUCAAGAGUGCUAGACGGUUUUGCUGUCACUAAUAGAUGGUUCCGUGCUGCAUUAGCUAGUUGGUAAGGUAACGGCCUACCAAGGCGACGAUGCGUAGCCGACCUGAGAGGAUGAUCAGCCACACUGGAACUGAGACACGGUCCAGACUCCUACGGGAGGCAGCAGUGGGGAAUAUUGCGCAAUGGGCGAAAGCCUGAUGCAGCAAUGCCGCGUGAGUGAAGAAGGUCUUCGGAUCGUAAAGCUCUGUUAUUAGGGAAGAACAGAUGUGUGAGAAUCUGUGGACAUCCUGACGGUACCUAAUCAGAAAGCCACGGCUAACUUCGUG